CCGACUAGUGGAGUUUUUAGCCUUUUAACAUUCAAGGAUUAGGUAAGUUCUCCCCGCGGUAGACUUCAAAUACUCUUUGUCCUGCCCCUGCUUGGCGAAAUUUACCGAAAUUAUCUACCUAUCCCGCUGGAGUGGGAGCCGGGGGAGAGCUGGAACCGCGUCUCUGCUGCUCACCUUUGUGUCCUUAGCUCCUUCGCAUGGGGUCCGACCGCAACACGUGCGCUGGAUAAACGCUUGUUAACUGGAGCUCCCUCUUUGCCCACUAGCAGGGCAUUAGCUGGUGCUGAAGACAGUGGCUGCUUGGCGAGCCUGGAUCUCCAAGUGACCCCCUCAGCAACUCCUGAUGAACAGGACUGAAGCCAAUAUUAAAGCAAGUCAACCAAAGGUUCUCUGGUGUAGACAAGACAGCAAAAGGACAGACUACCUUGUGGAACCUAGCAUUGUUCUCCUUCUGCAGCACUAAGUAACAUUUGUUCUCCGUUAAGAUCUUUGCAAACCACACACAAGAAUUGCUGGUCAUCCUGCCAAUAGAUGCUGCUCACAGAACCAAAUUUCCUGUGCUGAAUUGUCACUCAUGGGCUUGAGAGUAGGAGACUGGAGACCAAGGUGGCUAGAAUCCAGUUGGGCCUGAUGUCUCCCUGUUGAAAGGGCUCCUUGUGGAAUGAAUAGCACAUGGCUCCUGUGGUGGAUCUGAUAGUGGCAUAGCACCAAGUGAUGCAGGCCUGCCAGGGGCCACAGACACAGAAGAUGCUCCCGGGGUCCCCCAUGUACUCCAGACACACUGCAGGCCACCUCUCCCAGCAGGUUGCCAGUCAUGGGCCCCAUCAUCAUGACUUCUGUCCAAGGUGUGCUCGGAAAUCUCUUCCUUAACUGUGACUUUCUGACAGGUGGAGGAUGUGGUCAGGAGUGGGAAAAGGAUUCGAGACGGGAAGAGGGAGGGGUUCAGGAUGAAGAGAGAUAAUCUGUGCCACAGAUGCUGGCCCUGCAGUUAGCUCCCACCUAGUCCGUGCACACACAUUCUAAUCCCCUCCCAUUCCUUUACAUGCUGCGGCCAGAGAGGCCUUUCUCAAAGUGGAAGUCUCAUCCUCACUUCUCUGGUUACAGUGCUGGGCCAUGGUAACUUACAAGGCUUAGCAGGAACUGUCUGCGCACUCCCCCUUCCUGCCCACUACCUUGUUUCCCUCCAGUUGCGAGAGAAAACAUUGAUUGAGCAUUAACUAUGUGCCAGGCUUGUCCUAAGUCCUUUGCAUGUAUUCACUCAAACAAUCCUCACAACAUUCCUAUCACAUCUCCCAUUUCACAGUGAGGGUUCUAAAGCACGUAGUGGGUGAGGAACUUGUCCAGGGUCACACAACUAAGUGGGGGUGGAGAAACAUCAAAUCUAGGUGGUCCAGGUGGUGGCCAGAACCCAUCAGCACCUCACUACAGCUGCCUCCAGUUUCUCGCUCUAGGAAAUACUCUUCCCUGUCAACUCCUGUUGUCCUCUGGGCUCAGUUGACAUGUCAUCUCCUUGAGGAGGACAUCCUGAGAUGCUCCCCGACUAGGGUGGGCACCCACUUCCACACUCCAAAUGCCUAUUUGACCUGUGUAUCGCUGCAUCCCCACUGCCUGGCAGAUAGCAGGCCCCUAAUAAAUAUGAUUUGAGCAAAUAAAUAUAGUUCUUCAAAAAAUAGGGAGGACUUCUUGCUUCAGGUAAUGGUAGGCUAGGACAUUUGGACCAACCCUCCUGCAGAAAAUAGCCAUUUAUUUUGAUGCAAUAUAUCUGGCUAUGACUAGAGAUUUCAAAUAUUUGGAGGGCUAUUAUGUGAAGAACUAAACUUACUCUUUGUGACAUAGAGGUCAGAAAUUGGUCGUUUCCAUAGAGUAUGAGAGAGACAGAAUUGUGCUCAUCAUAAGUAUCUUUUUUAAAAGUUAGACUUAAUAAAAUGGGCUGCCUUGGUAGGUGGUGAGUUCUCUGUCACGAAAGAGAUUCAGCCACUUGCUCUGAGAAAGCAUGGAGAAUAUCAACAUUGUAAGGGUCGACCACCUCAUCUCUGAGGCCCCCUCCUCACUUAGGUUGCCAUUGCAGGUGGAACACUGGGCUGAGUGUCAAAGAACCUGGGUUCCACAAGCUGUGCGACCAUGGCUGGUUGUUUUGGAUCUCAUUCCUAAUAUCUGUUAGUUAAGCUGACCCGUCAAUACUGACCCACUUCACAGAGUUAUGAAGGGAUUAAAUUAGGUAUUACAUGUAAAUCUGUUUUGUUUGCUUUUUGUUGUUCUUUUUUGUUUUGCUUUUUUCUUUGCAUUAUGAAAUCCCAAGUCAACUUUUUCCAUUCUUUUAUUUUUUUAAAAAUUGACAUCAUCAUUAUAACCACAAAAUAAUUUUUAAAAUGGAAAAAAAAAACUCACCUGCAACCCCACAAUCUAAUACAAUAAUCAUACUUUUUUCCCUUUAUUCUCCUUUAUUGUGACCAAGGAUGACUUUGGGCAUUGCUGUGAGGAACUAUUUCGUUUAACACCCUACUACCUGAACAUGAUGCGUACUCAGCCUUUCACCACCCCCCAAGUAGCUACACAUGAUGUGAUAAUAGUAUUGGUGGUGGUUUUAGAGAGUUGGAGAGAAAACUGAAGUUGGAUUUGGGUAAAAGAAAAAAGAGUGGGAAUUAUUUUUUCUCCAUUCUAAAGCCCAUAAAGCAAUGUUAAUUGUUCCCACCCCUCUGCUAUUCUGUCUCCUCAGGUACUGUGUGCAGAAAUGUGAUUGAGAUUCAAGUCAGGGCCUCUCUGCCCUUUUCCCUCCAGAAACAAAACCAAGAUAAUUUAUCCUGAACACGGUGAAAAAAGGAAGGGAGGGAGGAGAAAAAGUCCGGGUCUCACCUGGGAUUCUCUGUCUCCUGCAACAUGAAGGAUUUAGCCUGGGAGGAGGUGGUGAGAACUCUGGGAGAGAAAAAAGAAGGAAAGAAUAGUUUUACCCAUGCUGAAGUUAAUUUAAACCUUCACCUAGAGAAGCAAAAAAAAAAAACCCACACUUUCCCAUUUUGUGCCUCCCUUCCUAGAGUUUUAGCCAAAGGUUUAGCUAAGUAAUUGGUUUUACCAGCGCACUCACUCCUCCUAUCCCAAGUCUGUUUGACUCCCUCCCCAUCAUCCUCCUCACCUCUUUUCAGGCAGGGUGGGGAUAGCAGCAGGAGGAGAUUUUGGGAGCCUGGCAACUCCUGCAAGGACCGCAGGACAGCCCCUCUGUGGGGAUGCGUGGUGCCCCAUCUGCCGCCCUUCUGAAGAAUGCACUGCCUUCACUUUUUACUGUGUUAGAGUCCAUCCAGACUGUUCUAUCCAAAAAAGUUUCUUUUUCCCCCACAGGCAAUCAGGAAAUGAUUCCUUUCCCGACUGCUUCUGUCUAGUGCCUGGGAAUCUUGAGUCAAUCCCUCAGUAAGUCAGUGACUAGGGAAAUCCCUCUCUGAGCCUCCCAGUUCAUGUUGCUUAGGGAACCUGAUAUUUUCGUGAAACCUGCCUACACAUGGGCAGCCCAACAGCAGAACAAAUGGUGGUGACCAAAGUGAACAAAGAAGUAUAGUUGUGCCAGCUUCGUAGUUGCCCAUGUGGACAAGUCAGCAGGAUCAGGACACGAGGAAGAGUAAAUGUGAGACAGUCAAUGUGACUUCUGCGAUAAACAGAUUUUUAAACCCCGAAAUUUUGCAAAAUUUUGGUGAAACCUGAACUUUCUUCGUUGCAUAUACUGGCACUAUCUGUACCAUCAUACAACUGUCUCACAUUAAAGCUAUUUUUCUUGGGCACUGAUGAGUAAGGUUGGUAUAAGUUCCUCAGAUCAACAAAAACCCAUUUUCCUGUAAGUCUUACAUUUAGUAUUUAAGGAACUAAAACUUAAAUACAUUUUGUGAAAUGGUUGACACUUCACUGAUAAUGAUUUAUUGCUUGGAUUAAUAAAUUUUCCAAAAGUUGUCUUAUGUAGAAUAUGGUUUGCAACCAGCAGAACCAUUAAUCUAUACUGCAAUGAUAUGCACUAUGUAUAAUUGUUUAAAAGCCUCUACUUAAUGAUGUAAAAUGCUCUAUUUAAUUACACAUUUGGGUAAACUGUAUACUAACAUCUGAUGGCAUUUUUCCACUGUUUGUUGCUUUUUUCAAAUACUUUAUUGUACAAAGCUGUUCUUAAUAUUUUUCAAGUUUUUUUCUUUGAAUUUUGCUAAUGUUUUCCUUGAAUUAUGAGCACUGACAGAAUGUGCUUAGCACUUUUGGCUAUUCACACAGCUUUUGAGCAUGAUUUGCAUCCAAUAUUUACAUUGCUAGCAAUAAUAAGCCAUCUGUGAGUUUUGUCAAAAGUUAUUGGGGAUUUUUUAAAUUUUAGAAAUGCAAAUUAUUGUUUCUUUGAACUAACUCUUAUGCAGUUGCAAAGGCAUUUCCAGUUGUUAUAGUUUGUGUACAAUAUCAGGUGUUCCAGAUUAUGAUUCAUUAUUAAUAUCAUUGCUUCCUUGUUCCCUCUGAGGUCCAGAAGAUUCAUGUUUACAAUAUUUAGAAACAAUGUUAAAA
ensembl:lncRNA HCG18 HLA complex group 18